rnacentral:rRNA from 1 species
GUAGGGGGCAAGCGUUGUCCGGAUUUACUGGGCGUAAAGCGCGUGUAGGCGGCCACGCAGGUCCGUUGUGAAAACUGGAGGCUCAACUUCCAGACGUCGACGGAAACCGUGUGGCUAGAGUCCGGAAGAGGAGAGUGGAAUUCCUGGUGUAGCGGUGAAAUGCGCAGAUAUCAGGAAGAACACCAAUGGCGAAGGCAGCUCUCUGGGACGGUACUGACGCUGAGACGCGAAAGCGUGGGGAGCGAACAGGAUUAGAUACCCUGGUAGUCCACGCCGUAAACGAUGGGUGCUAGGUGUGGGAGGUGUCGACUCCUUCCGUGCCGUAGCUAACGCAUUAAGCACCCCGCCUGGGGAGUACGGCCGCAAGGCUAAA